UAACUUCAUUCCCUGGCUUGGAAAGUUGCAUUUUCUGUCAUAGGCAAUCUCUUACAGCUCUCUCUUUGUGUAUUAGUGAGACCAAAAAAUAUGUGGUGUUUAUUUUUAAUUUUUCUAGGCCACAUCUGGAAGUAGUUGCACCUUUUCUUAACUUACUGUCUUUGCAAGCUUUUACUUGUUAAUCCAGAGGGAAAUUUUGGAUUCUCAGGGAUCAAGACAGCAUUUUUCCUGUAGAUCUUGAGCGGGGCAUUAACAAACAUAGACAAACAAUGUUUACUUGUCAGUCACAUUUAAGCUGAUGUUGUUUCACUUAAAGAGUGGAAGGAUGCAUCUCAGAAGUCUGAAGAGUAAGAGCAGAGAAAGUUCAGAAUGAACAGAGGUCUCACAUGAACUGUAUUAUCAUCUCUACAGAAGCAGAGAUAAACUAACAGUUCUAUUCCAAAAAAUGUAGAAAUACACUUGCAAAUUUGGGACAUGUUAGCGUGAGAGUGUGAAGAGCCUAAUGAAAGUAGGACAGCAUGUCAGAGGAUUUCUAAUAAAUAUAGAUUAGAAAGUCUUCAACUAGCUGUAAGUUCAUACAUUAUCAUUCCCAGUAAAACUCUGACUUUGGGAAUCUUUUAUGUCAAUUAACUUCUAAACACCUAUAAUAGAACUAUUAACGUUAUUUUAUAGGUUUAGAAAAUAAAGUACAUAACUAAGAGGCUCUAUCAAAAUUUUACAGUAAAUCUAGAGAGCAUGCUUGGAAUGGAAGAUGGGAGUCCUGACUUCUGGUCUCAUGGUAUAAUUGUUUGGCUAGCUCUGGGUGUUUUUUAAUUCAUUUUUAUAGUACUAUAAUCCCCAUAGUACUAAAAUAGAAACCUUGUGCUUCUUUUCUUGAGUGUAAUCCAAAAACCUGGUCUCAAAAUAGGCUGUACUGCUUUUCACCAUGUUUUUUUCCGGAGAAAUAGAAAACCCUCACAAAAUCAUGAAAGCUGUUCCUUACCUUCUCCUUACAGAUGGGCAAGAUUGAACGGUUACCUGACAGAAGCAAGGGAAUUCAAUGUUCAGCAACUAAAAAACAGUGGGAGACAGCAAAGGAAGAGUGAAAUAAUUCUGCAGUGCACAGUGUGCCACAGUUCAUCGUUGCACAACUAUGACUCAACCUUAUCUCUGGCCAACUAGUGUAACCACAUUUAUGUCUUUCUUAGCAUAUCCACUUGUUCCCUGUGAAUUGUGAAGCAAGAUGUGUGUGCUUAUUUCAUUUGGGGUACAGCACGCAGUAUAGCAGGCUUGCUUCAGUUUGUCAUAAAAAAAAACCAAAAAGCCAGAGGAUACAAUUAACUAAUGUCAUUGUGUAUCACAUUUGAGUAUCAGCAUGACAGCUGGUUUAGAGGGCCAGCCAAUAACCCCAAGGCAGAGAUUUAGGGAAAGCCAUGAAUCCUAAAAACGUAGAAGUUGCCCAUUAUGGAGAAAGCAUAAACUCUAAUUCUGAAUAUAGCAGCCCAAAAUUUCAUAUUUUGGAGCUGCACAAUCAGUGUAACUGAGUUUCCUUGGGUUUGUCAGUAUACAUGGUUUCAGUCUACCUGCAUUGUUGGCAUCCUCAGUCCAGCACCACCAUAUUCCACCUACUCUAUUUCCUUGCCAGUCAUUAAAGUUUUCGGAAUCUAAAUAUAUUGUAAACUUCCCUGUAGAAUCCACUGAUCUUUAUCCAUGAAAUGGGAAAGACAGUGGCAUGUAAUGAAAAAGGAAAGAUGUUGCUUUAAUUAUCUUUGAAGCAUAUAAAAGAGAAUACAGCAAACCUGCACUGUCUGAUAGCUUUCUGAAGUUAAAUCCAUUCCCACAUAAGAAACAGACUAAACAGAUAACCUGAACUGUAUCAAGUUCUACUGUUAUGUUUUCAACUUUUUCCAUUGGAUAUAAUAGGUUUUAUACCACUGUACUGGCGGAAUCCAUCCUAAAGAAAACCUAUGGCUAUAGAACAGUAUUUCAUGACAAGUCUAUAGAACAUAUGUAAUUUAUUACAUAUAUAUAACUACGUACUUCGGUGUUCCUCCUAGCCAAAUAGAUUGCGAUGCCCUAUUACAAGUGUUUUCAACAGCAAAUGUUCAAAAGGGCUUUAAGAAGUCAUCUUUGGAUAGGAGACAUAACAAACUUCAGCUGUACCAAGCAAAAUUUAUAUAGAAGAAAACCUCUGAGUAAUAAAGACAGUUAUAUAAUGAAAUUGUUUGGAGGUAAUGUGUGAUUGUUAGGCUAAAAUUAAAGUCAUUGGAUAUUUCUAAGAAAAGGUUAGGUAAACCUCGGUCAGAAAUUUUGUAGUUAAGGUAACGUUAACAGGAUGAGGAGAGUGGCUAGAAAUUAGAUUUCUUGGUUUUCUUUCCAGCCCUAUUUUUCUAUGACUCUGUUAUUCUACAUGACAUAAGAAUGAGCCUCAUUUCAUGGACUAACCCACUGAAAGACAGAACCCAAAAGACAGAAGUAAACCAUGAAUUUUCAUGACAGAAGGGUUCUUACUUAAGGAGAGUUUGUGCUUAAAGCUGAGCUGUUCACAAUUCAUAAGUGAACUGGGAAAAGGAAUGAAUGGUGAUAUGACAACAUUUGAGGAACGUAUCUAUUAAUUAAGAUCUAAAGCUGAUUGAAAAGUACUGCAAGAGGCUUCCAUGACACUGUGUGAGUAGUGGUAAUUGAAAAGCAGUAUUCCAAAGUGCACUGUAAUGCCAAUAGUGGUAGAAAUAUACAGACAUCACAGUGAACUCUAAAAGCUAGUACCAGUCAGGACAAGUCUUGAAGUCAGUGUGGAGCAGUUUUCUGAACAAAGAUUCAGCGCUCAGAAGUAGCUAGUAGCACAAGAAAGGUAAACUUUUUUAGGGAAAGGGUAAGAAAACAGAACAUAGUAUAAAAACAUUUUUAGUACUGCAUAUAACUGUGAUGCACUACUUGCGUAUUGCUUUCAGUUCUAGUAACCCCAUCUCAAAAUCCAUAUAGUAGGAUUACAGUAACAUUCAACCCUGGAUAACUAAAACUCAGAAAUAUGAAAUGGCAAAAUCAUGGGAUACGAAUACAUUAGCAGCUUUUAAAUACAAAAUGCUGCCUCUGUUUUAGCAAGUCUGCAGGACUCAGGUUACUGGAAGCUGGCAUACAGAAGGGGUUAUUGCUGUCUGCUUGCCCUUUUCAUAUACUCUUUCAUUGUGUGCUAGAUGGGCCUCUGGUCUCAUCUACUACAGCCGUUCUUGUGAUGCUAUAAGGAGAGACUAAAUACAUUUGGGUUUGUUAGCUGGGAAAACAAAUGAUUGGGAGAGUGAUGUUAAUAAAAUAGAUUGAGCCAAAAGGCAUAUUUAAUUAAUACUGUGUCAUUUGUGGCCAUUGCGUACUAUGGUCCAGAGGAAAAUUCCAGCUCGGGAAUUAUCUAGAACACAAUUUGUUAGAAUCUGAGGAGAUGUGCUAACAAAAUAAAUGAGUGAACCAAGAGCUGGAUCCCUCCUACCUGUGAAUGUUUUUGAGCUUUGUGAAACUACAGUGGAAUUAGAUUCAGGAAAACCUAAGAACUCCUACACUGAGAGCCUCGAUAUGUUACUGAAUUUCUGCUUUUCUUAUUUCCACCCUAAUUUUAUUAUUUCCUAACUCCAUCCAUGCCUCAGUGGCAAAAUCCUAAAUUAUCUAGAUUCCCGAACUGUAUUUACAGCCAAAUAGGAAAUGACAGCAUCAGCUGCUGGCUCACAACACUGAAGAAGUUGAGCAACUCUGAAUUUUAAAGGAAAGCCAGAUGGUCGAAUGCAAGCAGGAACCACGAGUUCCAUUGUCCUGCAAGGUUUUAUUUCUUUGGGGACCAGAUUUUCUAUCUGUAAUGCAAGGCAGAAUACUUCCCCAUCUUUAGGAAAUCUUUCAGAUUAAAACAGUACUGAAACUAUCAGUUAGCUUUACUAGCUAUGUCCAUCAACCAGUAAACAGUUUGCAGUCAGUCAAAUUUCAGUCAGCCUGAAAAAAAGGACUGACCAAAAUUUUUUUAUACUUCAGUCUAUGAUCUUGACAGUGCAAUUCAGAAAAGAGAAUAAUCUGAGACUAACACCUACUGUUAAUACCAUAUGUAGAAGACACAGAACACUGACUGUUGUAAAAAAACACUUUUCAAACCCUUGCCACCAGACCUCAAAAAUUUUACUGUCAAACCUCUACAGUGCUUCUGGCUGGACGAAGUAUCAAGAAGGUGACUGUGACUUUGGCCUCACAGAAGAUGCAGAAACAAGAGUUGAUGCAAGGGAACUGUGGGGGUGGUGCAUCCAUAGACAAUUACUGCUCUUACUACAGAACGUCAAUGUCCUUGCUGAUGAGUAAGACUUCUUAUCACUAGCUUCUGUCUUACCCUCACUCCAAUUUUACACACAGACAUUCAGCAAAAUUAAGGCAAUCAAAAGUAUUAAAUCAGUGCACCUAAGCUGAAGUACUUUCAACUGCCAUGUUAAUGUUUCUUUGAAGGAUAAAGUGUUCUGUAGCCUCUGAUAGUAUAUUGUGUCUAGUUGGGGUUCAUUUUCUUCAGAGCAGGCCAUAUUAUGUUGUGUUUUAAAUUUGUGACCAAAACAGUGUUGAUAACACACCAGUGGUUUAGCUGUUGCUGAGCAGCGCUUGCAUAGUACCAAGGCUGCCUCUGUUUCUCACUCUGCCUCUGCAGCAAGUAGGCUGACACAAGCUGACCAAAGAGCUACUGCGUGCUGUAUAACAUCAUGCUCAGUGAUACAAUUUGGGGCAGGGGGGAGGUUUUGCAAAGCUGCUGUGGCUUGCAGACUGGCUGGGCAUCAGUCUUCUUGCGGGAGGUGGUGAGUGAGUGCCUUUCCAUCACUUGUUUCUUUUUCUUCCCCCUUUUUUUUUUUCUUUCCUUGACUUAUGAAACUCUUUAUCUUGACCCAUGCAUUUUUCUCCCUUUUGCCCUUUCAGUUCUCUCCCCCAUCCCAUUUCUGGGUGGAGUAAGUGAGCAGCUGGGUGAGCGUUCAGCUGCUGGCAAGGGUCAGCCCACCAACCCAUAGGAAAACUCUGAGGAAAGAAUGAGAAGGAGUUGGGAUGCAUCUUACUGGGCUACUUGUUUUGCCAUGGCUCUCGUCUUUUACUCCCUGUGUGGGAACUACCAGAUGCCUAUUGUUAGGACUGGGUGGAAGAAGUCACAGUUCGUUUUCUCUUUCCCAUCUACUGUUGUCAGCAAGAAGGCAGUAUGGAUCUCAGAAAGUUUAACAAACUAAUAGCAGUUCCUGCAGCGUGAACCAACCAAAUAAAAUGUGCUGCUGCUUCUCUAAUGCAGGCAUAGGCAACCUAUAGCUCUUAAACUCCAUUAAGCUUGUGUGUGGCUUCUGCAAGGGCUACAGCAUAUGACAAAUAGCAGGGAGUGCAAAUACAGUUCCUGCACAUUCUGUAUGUCCAGCUGUCAGUAAAAACAAACUGAAGCUCCCAAAGCCAGAAUUACCCUGUCACCUUGAACCCAGCUCUACCCUCCAGCAGAAUGCUUACCAACAGCCUAUAAUGCCAUUUUAUAGUUUGCCCUCUCCUUGGUACGAUGUCGCAUUAAUUUGAGCUUGCAUCUCUCAUCUUCCUCAGACUGAAACUGUUGUGUAUGAUUCUGCAUAGCCACAGUCUGAUAUCAUGACUGCCAAACCACAAUCUUCCUCUGAAUGAAGUUUUCUUACCAUUGGGUAAACCUAUGGCAAAGCAGGCUCCUCCACUAACCCUGUGACUUCUGAGGAACUGCAGGAAUUUGGAUUCUAUGGGUGCCUGAGCUCUUCAGGACUGUCUGAAGGCAAAAAACAUGAAGAGGACUUCCUGCAUAUUAAAGAUCUUCUACUUGAACAUCCACAGAUGAGAAUCAUAUGCUGUUUCUGCCACCUGCCCCCAAAUGGGUCCCUCAGUGCCAGCAAGGCUGACGAACAACCUCCAGUGAAGUGUCCAAGGGAAUGAGCUAAAGGAGCACCUGCACAACACAUGUGGGAACAGUAACCUGCUGCUGGAUGGUGACAAGCAACGAGAUGUUGUAUCUUCAACUGUUCCACCUAUGUAGGGAAGGAGACGGCAGUCCACUGCCUGGCUGAUGGCUAAACCGUUCAACUGAAUCGUGAAGUCCUCAGAACUUACCAUCCUGCUGACUGAACUGAGUUGUAAAGCUAUACAUACAUGCACAACUGACCUGGAGAACCAAUACUUGCAG